UACGUAGGUGGCAAGCGUUGUCCGGAAUACUGGGCGUAAAGCGUGCGCAGGCGGUGAUGUAAGACAGGUGUGAAAUCCCCGGGCUUAACCUGGGAACUGCAUUUGUGACUGCAUCGCUGGAGUGCGGCAGAGGGGGAUGGAAUUCCGCGUGUAGCAGUGAAAUGCGUAGAUAUGCGGAGGAACACCGAUGGCGAAGGCAAUCCCCUGGGCCUGCACUGACGCUCAUGCACGAAAGCGUGGGGAGCAAACAGG
rnacentral:rRNA from 1 species